UCGUCAUAUUUUGAAGUAAAACUGUCGCGAGUUGCUCUCGAGAAUAUUUCUCGCAAAUGGAUACUGUUCUGAGA